rnacentral:rRNA from 1 species
UCCACACUGGGACUGAGACACGGCCCAGACUCCUACGGGAGGCAGCAGUAGGGAAUCUUCCGCAAUGGACGAAAGUCUGACGGAGCAACGCCGCGUGAGUGAUGAAGGCUUUCGGGUCGUAAAACUCUGUUGUUAGGGAAGAACAAGUGCUAGUUGAAUAAGCUGGCACCUUGACGGUACCUAACCAGAAAGCCACGGCUAACUACGUGCCAGCAGCCGCGGUAAUACAA